rnacentral:lncRNA from 1 species
GAAAAUAGACAAGCAAUGAUAGAGCCCAACAUGUCCAAAAGGAAAAGAGAAUGGGCUAUUUAUUAUGUGCUAAUGCUAUGGCAUGUUUGGUUGACUUGGAAUAACUAGGAAUAGAAAUUGCUCCAACAUUCUCUCGUUUUAUCGAUAUAUAGCGAAUCAAUGGGUGUAGAUUUUUUAAUGUUCUCUGAUAUGGGGGGGCUGCUUGUUAACAAUGGUUCUCUUGGUUUUGUUUUAACAAAAUCAUAUGCAGAGAGUUUAUCACUAUAUUAUUGGGC